rnacentral:rRNA from 1 species
GAACGCUGGCGGCGUGCCUAAUACAUGCAAGUCGAGCGAGCGGAACUAACAGAUUUACUUCGGUAAUGACGUUAGGAAAGCGAGCGGCGGAUGGGUGAGUAACACGUGGGGAACCUGCCCCAUAGUCUGGGAUACCACUUGGAAACAGGUGCUAAUACCGGAUAAGAAAGCAGAUCGCAUGAUCAGCUUUUAAAAGGCGGCGUAAGCUGUCGCUAUGGGAUGGCCCCGCGGUGCAUUAGCUAGUUGGUAAGGUAAAGGCUUACCAAGGCGAUGAUGCAUAGCCGAGUUGAGAGACUGAUCGGCCACAUUGGGACUGAGACACGGCCCAAACUCCUACGGGAGGCAGCAGUAGGGAAUCUUCCACAAUGGACGCAAGUCUGAUGGAGCAACGCCGCGUGAGUGAAGAAGGUUUUCGGAUCGUAAAGCUCUGUUGUUGAUGAAGAAGGAUAGAGGUAGUAACUGGCCUUUAUUUGACGGUAAUCAACCAGAAAGUCACGGCUAACUACGUGCCAGCAGCCGCGGUAAUACGUAGGUGGCAAGCGUUGUCCGGAUUUAUUGGGCGUAAAGCGAGCGCAGGCGGAAGAAUAAGUCUGAUGUGAAAGCCCUCGGCUUAACCGAGGAACUGCAUCGGAAACUGUUUUUCUUGAGUGCAGAAGAGGAGAGUGGAACUCCAUGUGUAGCGGUGGAAUGCGUAGAUAUAUGGAAGAACACCAGUGGCGAAGGCGGCUCUCUGGUCUGCAACUGACGCUGAGGCUCGAAAGCAUGGGUAGCGAACAGGAUUAGAUACCCUGGUAGUCCAUGCCGUAAACGAUGAGUGCUAAGUGUUGGGAGGUUUCCGCCUCUCAGUGCUGCAGCUAACGCAUUAAGCACUCCGCCUGGGGAGUACGACCGCAAGGUUGAAACUCAAAGGAAUUGACGGGGGCCCGCACAAGCGGUGGAGCAUGUGGUUUAAUUCGAAGCAACGCGAAGAACCUUACCAGGUCUUGACAUCUAGUGUCAUUUGUAGAGAUACAAAGCUCCCUUCGGGGACGCUAAGACAGGUGGUGCAUGGCUGUCGUCAGCUCGUGUCGUGAGAUGUUGGGUUAAGUCCCGCAACGAGCGCAACCCUUGUUAUUAGUUGCCAGCAUUAAGUUGGGCACUCUAAUGAGACUGCCGGUGACAAACCGGAGGAAGGUGGGGAUGACGUCAAGUCAUCAUGCCCCUUAUGACCUGGGCUACACACGUGCUACAAUGGGCAGUACAACGAGAAGCGAGCCUGCGAAGGCAAGCGAAUCUCUGAAAGCUGUUCUCAGUUUGGACUGCAGUCUGCAACUCGACUGCACGAAGCUGGAAUCGCUAGUAAUCGCGGAUCAGCACGCCGCGGUGAAUACGUUCCCGGGCCUUGUACACACCGCCCGUCACACCAUGGGAGUCUGCAAUGCCCAAAGCCGGUGGCCUAACCUUCGGGAAGGAGCCGUCUAAGGCAGGGCAGAUGACUGGGGUG